rnacentral:rRNA from 1 species
UACGGGGGGGGCAAGCGUUGUUCGGAAUUAUUGGGCGUAAAGGGCUCGUAGGCGGUUUGUCGCGUCGGGAGUGAAAACCUCGGGCUUAACUCGGGGCUUGCUUUCGAUACGGGCAGACUGGAGGUAUGCAGGGGAGAACGGAAUUCUUGGUGUAGCGGUGAAAUGCGCAGAUAUCAGGAGGAACACCGGUGGCGAAGGCGGUUCUCUGGGCAUGACCUGACGCUGAGGAGCGAAAGUGUGGGGAGCGAACAGG